CACAUUGUAGAAAGAAAGACAAGCGAGGAGAGACUUCUAACACUUUCUUUUUGAAUCACCGGACUCUGGAUUGAGACGUUGUGGAUCCGUGGUGAUAGUUCAUUCGUGAUUAUCAUCCCGACUACGAGUUUGAUUCGAGGAGUUUUUCGUGGUUCUCAGAUUGAGGGUCUCAAAAAGGCUAUUCAUGAUGUGCGUACUUAGGACUGCUUGCCUAGGCUGUCCAACUGCUUGGACUGCUUGGCUGUCGGACUUCCAGGCUGGCGUAUAAGAAAGGCUCCAGAUGAUGGGCACGGAGUAGGGGCCUUGCUGACUGCCUGGACUACUUUCAUUUGAUGCUCAGGAGGUAGGACCUGCCCGGACAACUUGCUAAGGCUGUCAAAUUGCCAGUACGGGCUGUCGGACUCUUCGCCUAUUCACGGGUGGCAAAAGCUGAAGUCACGCCCGUUCACUUGUUAUGUUCUGGGAUUGCAUUGCCCUUUUUGGAACUUGUUCCUUAUUUUCACGGACCAAUCAAGUAGAUUGUGAAACGUUCACUCAUUCAAAUUAUCAAUAUUCUUAGAAUUAUCAUUUAA